CAUUGAGAAUAAAGAACGAGGAAAGAAGGUGUUGAAGUAUGUUUUACAGGACAGCAUAAUUCAUGGAAAUGUAUUUUAUAAUAAUGUUUAAAGUAAUCGCACAAUUUAAUAGUUUUUAGCGGCUUAUGGUUAAGUAAGGUGCGGAUGGAGUGUGGACAGAAGAUCCUCCUCAGUCUCUUGAAGUGGACGAUAGACAGCCGUAGUGUUUACCUGACCAAAGCACAGAGGAGAGGCUUUUGUUGAGUUGGCUGUUGUCUAUGAUAAUUUUCUUUGCCCUGGUCCAACAUUGCUUGGUGUAGAUGUUCUGGAAGUUAGAGAAUUAACAUCAACACUGUUGUAUUCAGCUGACUGCACAACUAUCUACAGAGCCUUGUGGUCCUGCUGUGUGCUGCUCCCAAACCAAGCAGUGUUAUUUUCCUGUUAGGAUAAUUUCUAUGGUGGUUGUGUUGAAGUUCUUUAGUAACUGAGAGGACUGCCUAUAAUCCGUGAGACAUCUGAGAUGGUGUCAAUGUGCUUGGAUCAGGUCAUGCCCUCUGUGAUCUGAGCACUGAAGUAUCUAGAACUGUGCACCCUGUCUGCCUGAGUGCUGUUAAUACUGAGGAGGUGGUAGUGCCCCUGCAGUUUUCUCCAAAAGUCUACAGUCAAGUCUUUUGUCUUUUGAUCACAUUCACAAGUAGACUGUUGUUCUGACUCCCAUGUGACAGACUCUCCAUUUCAUUCAGGUAAGCCUGCUCAUUGUUGUUAGAGCUCAGACCUACCACAGUUGUGUCAUCAUCAAACCUGAGAGUCACGUUAGAGUCUGUAGGGGGCCAACAACUAUCUGAGCAGCACUGUGUGCAAGGCCAGAGUCCUUGGUGGACAGGAUACCAGCUGAUCCCUGUGCAAAGUCCCCCACAACAGGCCAGUUUAGCAAAACCAGUAGAUUUAAACCAGACUAUCCAGAGAAAAAGCAAUGAGUCCAUGAGGAGAACCAAAAGUUCAGACUCCAUAUAGACAGCAAGUGAAUUUCAGCACCGGUCCCUAGGGGUAGGUGACAGUGUUAACAACUAUCAAAUAACAUGCAUUUAAUUAAAAUAAACCAUUUAAUUUUUCAAAUGGUAUUAAUGUUUUGGUAAGAUGAAUGUUGUGGUAAAUCUUAAAAACAUUAGAAAUCUUAAAAAGUGAUAAUUUUAAUGUGACAUGUCAAAUAACAUGAUUAUAUUGAGUAUUGUCUUCCUAAGGUAAUUGGGUAAUAACAGUAUUAUUUGAAAUUAUUUUUUGAUGAGCAGUGCAGGUAUUUAAAUAUAGGAAAUCCACUGUGGUAAAUAAUCAAGCGUCGACACACAAAGAGGUUUGGGGGCAGCCUCCCGUAUCCACAUUACUAAACGAAGGUUGUAUAUAUGCACGGAUGCCAGACGCCAGAAGCAAGCCAUGCCGAAAGCGCACACGCACAGCGUCUCCGUGCCCCAGAGU